AUUGUAUUAGCAUUCUCUAGAAAACAGAACCAUAUGUAUAUGAUUAUAAAUAAUUUAUUAGAUGGCUUACACAACCAGAAACUGGAUAGUCAACAAUGGUUGUCUGCAGAUGAGAGAGCUAAAGGAACCAAUAGUUGCUCACUCCAGGAAUUUGGAACUUCUGAAAAAGAAGGACCAAGGAUGCCUCCCCAGGCCAGGAUAGAAGACCUGGAAAUUCCCUGCAGAGUAGCGGGUCAGAGUCGACUAUGGAAAAGUGAAGGAGCAGGAGUCCGAGGUCCUCUGGUGAUUGCAGCAGAAACUGAAGCACUGCUCAAGAAGAUGGGGCUACAUCUGCAUUAAAGUUUCCUUGCUCUUCCAUAUUUUUCUUCUAGCCAGGCUCUCAACUUACCGGACUGUGCUGCCCACAUUUAGGGUGAGUCUCCCCCCUCAGUUUGUUGUCCCACAAGCCAAUCAUUCCUAGGAACAACCUCAUUGACACACCCAGAAGCCUCUUAAUCCUAGGCAUCUCUUAAUCCAAUCAAGUGGACAAUUCAGAUUAAUCAUCACAAUUACUUUGUUGGUUGCUGGAUAUUUUCCUAUUUUUUAAACUAUUAAAGCAAGGGCCUUCUAAGUACUCUAUCCAUUUCCCUAUGAAUUAUGAUAAUUUCCCAUCUUAGUUUAAUAAUUGAGACAGGUACUAACUACUUUCAGUCUCGAGUAGCUGCUUCACACCUGCAUGCAGGCUAGUUCUCUGCUGAGGUCUUAAGAGAGACCCUCUGCAGACCUCCAGUGUUGUGUGUGCACAGCUCUCUUCUGUAUGGUGAUCUGUACUGUGGAUUCCCUGGGCUCCAUGGAAAUCUGCCUUUGAUCUUCCUGCACUCUGCGAUUCCCAAAUUAGGGAGGCUUCCAAAGUCUCUCUGAGUUCCCCUACAAGCUCCUGAUACAGAAACCAAUUGUAAGCUCACGUUAUUUGUUUUAUAUCUCCAAGGGAUCAUUGUUUUUUGUUGCCUGAUGUCCACUGUCUUGAAAACUGUUGUUUUAAGCAGAAGUAUAAAUUUGGCCAUGUUAUUCCAUCUUUUCCAGAAUGAAAUUUCUACUUUUAAGUUCCUAUAAGAGGUUUUCGUUAGUUUCUCCUUUUCUUUUCUUUUCCUUCCUUCUUUCUUUCUUUCUUUCUUUCUUUUUUUCACUUUUAUUUGGGCAUUAUAGUCAUAAUUAACAGUUGGGUUCAUUCUGAUAUGAUCAUACAUAAAUGGAAUUUAAUUUAUACCAUUUCAGUUCCCAAUGACCCCUUUUUCCUUCUCUCCUUCCUCCCCCUAUUCCUUUUCUUCUACUCUAUUGGUUUACCUUCUCUCUCUCUCUCUGUC
rnacentral:lncRNA from 1 species